GCCCCAUAAUGUUGACAACUUGCAAGGAAAUUUAUCCAUCGGUACUCAGAAUAGACAGCAUAUUUCCCACUUAUGAAAGAUGCGUCAAGAACAAUACCAACUGUUUCAGGGAUAAAUGGUAUCACCAAAGUUUGCAUCUGAACUACAUUGCUGAUUUCACAAUCCAAACUUAUUUCUAAAAUAAUGAUUUAACAUAAACAACUGGAACUCCCGGAAGGAAGC
rnacentral:misc_RNA from 1 species